rnacentral:rRNA from 1 species
UAAACGAUGUGGAUUAGGUGUUGGAGGUGUCGAUCCCUUCAGCGCCGACGCUAACGCAUUAAAUCCACCACCUGGGGAGUACGGUCGCAAGACUGAAACUCAAAGAAAUUGACGGGGACCCGCACAAGCGGUGGAGCAUGUGGUUUAAUUCGAGGCUACGCGAAGAACCUUACCCAGGCUUGACAUGUAGUUGAAUAACUGUGAAAGCAUUUAGGCCCGCAAGGGACAAUUACACAGGUGCUGCAUGGCUGUCGUCAGCUCGUGCUGUGAAGUGUUGGGUUAAGUCCCGCAACGAGCGCAACCUUUGUCCUUAGUUGCCAUCACGUAAUGGUGGGCACUCUAAGGAGACUGCCGGUGAUAAACUGGAGGAAGGAGGAGAUGACGUCAAGUCAGUAUGGCCCUUAUGCCUGGGGCUACACACGUGCUACAAUGGCCGCGACAAAGGGAAGCAAUACCGCGAGGUGGAGCAAAUCCCAAAAAAACGGCCUCAGUUCAGAUUGAAGGCUGCAACUCGCCUUCAUGAAGUCGGAAUCGCUAGUAACGGUAGAUCAGCUACGCUACCGUGAAUACGUUCCCGGGUCUUGUACACACCGCCCGUCAAGCCACCUGAGUUGGGAGCACCCGAAGUCGUUCACCUAACCCGUAAGGGAGGGAAACGCCUAAGGUGAGACUAAUAAGGAGGGCUAAGUCGUAACAAGGUAACCA